ACAUUGGCGGGCAAUUAUGAACCAAGCAAACAAAAAUGCACAGAAACCAAUACUAUUUCCGUUUCAAAAUCCAAGUGCCUUUCUCUGAAUCUGAACACUGAACAGAAUCAAUACUCUCUCAACAACAUUCAAUGCUCUCAACUACUCACUCCUCAUCCAAUUCAAUUCUCUGUGACCACUUCCCCCACCUACAUUGUCUCACCUCUACCACACUUUCUAGGUAACCACUAGUACUAACUCAUUUCAAUUUCACUUUCUUUUUUUCUUCAUCUGGUAUAUAAAACAGUUUUGAUUUUUUUUCAUUUUAAUUCUUUUUUUGUUUUACAAUUAAUUACGUGAGUCCCACACACUAUUCCUUCAAUUUAUGUUAAGUAGAAGAAGAAGAAUGUGAGGGUUUUUCUAGAUUAGUUAAGAAUUAAUGAUGAGUGAGUUUCGUCGUGUAUCUGAAAAUAACAUUGAUGCAGAAGCAAGUGCUGCAUAUGUUUCUCACGCUGUGAAUUCUCGACACAGACGAUCUAACAGUGCUUCUGAUAGGAACUUGAAAUUCUCGAGAGAUGGUGGAGAUUUGAAUCCUAUAGGGAAAGACCAGGAUGAAUUUAUUGCAUCGCCGCUUAGGGUUUCCAGGAUACAGACUCCGUUGCAUGAGAAUUUCAAGUGUUUAAACAAGAAUGCUUCUUCGAAUCAUAGAGCAUCUUUGGAACAAGAUGUUGAGCAGCUACAGUUAUGCCUACAGCAGGAGAAAUCUAUGCGUAUCUUACUCGAGAGAGCAAUGGGCCGAGCCUCGAGUACUUUAUCACCUGGACACAGAAACUUUGCUUCUCAGACAAAAGACUUAAUUGCUGAAAUUGAGUUACUUGAAGAAGAAGUUACAAACCGUGAGCAGCACGUGCUUUCGAUGUACAGGAGUAUUUUUGAACAGUGUGUUAGCCAGCCACCUUCUGAACAGAAUUCUGGUGUGGCUUCACCUGCUCAUACUAAACACGAAUCAAGAAAGCACCCAAGCAUAAUCUCAAGUGCUUUCUGUUCAUCAAAAAACUUCCCGUUGCGACCCCUGCAAGCUCUUAUUUCAAAUAACGAUUUGAAGAAUAAAAUUUUCCGGUCAAGUCAUGCUCCUUUAUCAAGUGAAAAAGGCAAAGUUUCUUUCGGAAGGACUUUUCCCGAUUCCACCACCAAGGUUCACGAGAAGUUUUCUUCAAUAGAGAAAGCCCCUGCACUGCGACCUUUAAAAGACCAUCUACACCAGUGUCCAAGCAAGCUUUCCGAGGAAAUGGUGAAGUGUAUGGCAACUAUAUAUUGCUGGCUCCGUAGUGCAAAAUCUGCCAACACUGAAAACAGUAGGUCGCCUAUAUUGUCAAGGUCCUCCACCAAUGCCAUACAACCUCGACAUGGUGUUGUAGAGGAUCGGGAAUGUUCUUGCAAAUCUGCAGUGGAAAUAUCUUGGAUAGCUACACGAAAACGUCAUUCUUCUCAUGCUUCUUACGCCAUGGACCACUACAGAAUGCUAGUCGAACAGCUUGAAAAAGUGAAUAUCAGUCAAAUGGAAUGUGAUGGGAAAACUGCGUUCUGGAUCAACAUUCAUAAUGCUCUUGUGAUGCAUGCAUAUUUAGCAUAUGGAAUUCCUCAAAACUCUCUAAGGAGGUUGGCCUUGUUUCACAAGGCUGCUUACAACAUUGGCGGUCAUACUAUAAGUGCAAAUACCAUAGAGCAAGCAAUAUUUUGCUUCCGGACACCUCGCCUUGGACGGUGGCUUGAAAGCAUUGUGUCGGCUGCUCUUAGGAAGAAAAGUGGAGAAGAAAGACAGCUCAUCAACUCAAAAUUGAGUAUUACGGAUUCCCCGCCCCUUGUCAUCUUUGCCCUUUGCACCGGAUCAAUGUCAGAUCCUAUGCUAAAAGUGUACUCAGCUUCAAAUCUAAGAGAAGAACUGAAUUCUGCGAAGAGAGAGUUUCUACAGGCAAAUGUAGUAGUAAAGAAGUCUAGUAAAGUUUUUCUCCCUAAAUUGGUGGAAAGAUUUUCCAGAGAAGCAUCUAUCAGCAUUGAUGAUAUCCUUGGAUGGAUCAUGGAAAAUGUUGACAAGAAACUGCAUGAUUCGAUACAGAAGUGCCUUGAUCGUAAGUCCAACAAAAAAUCAUCUCAAAUGAUAGAAUGGCGGCCUCACAGUUCUAGAUUCCGAUACAUGUUUUCCAAGGAUCUAAUAGACAAGCCAUGGUGGGUAUGAAAUCUUACAGCUCUGAAGAGAUUGUUAUUGGCCCUGGAGCUACCUGGGUAUGAGAAAGAAAGGCUUGACAGGACAGGUUUGAUUUUUAGGCCCAUUUCGACUUGGCGGACUUGCCCGCUCCGCUCUUUUUUUGGCAGGCGUAAGGCGGGGAGGGCGUCCCGUUUUGCAACCCUUAAUUGAAUCAUCCCAAGAAGGAGGAUUCUUCCUAAAUCUCUUAAAUAUUGGUAUACAAAUGGUUCUUGAGUUGGGUAUAAAGUCGGACACAUAAUUUAUAUAACCUAAGAAUCUUUGCAAUUGGAUUUUAUCUUUUAAUUCGUCUGGAAAUUUACUAAUAAAUUCCAAAGAUCUACUAAUAGGGGUAUACAUGCUCUAGGAAAUAUCAAAACCCAAAAAUCUAACUUUAUAUUGAAAUAUUGUAAGUUUCUUUUAUGAUAAUACUAAACCGUUAUCUUUAAUUAUCUC